rnacentral:SRP_RNA from 1 species
UGCUCGUCCCUCCGUGACGAAUCACCGUAAACCCCGCCAGGCCCGGAAGGGAGCAACGGUAGCGGUCGAUUCGGGCGCCGGAGAUCGGCGGGUGCAG